rnacentral:rRNA from 1 species
UUUCACCGGAGCUUGCUCCACCGAAAGAAAAAGAGUGGCGAACGGGUGAGUAACACGUGGGUAACCUGCCCAUCAGAAGGGGAUAACACUUGGAAACAGGUGCUAAUACCGUAUAACACUAUUUUCCGCAUGGAAGAAAGUUGAAAGGCGCUUUUGCGUCACUGAUGGAUGGACCCGCGGUGCAUUAGCUAGUUGGUGAGGUAACGGCUCACCAAGGCAACGAUGCAUAGCCGACCUGAGAGGGUGAUCGGCCACACUGGGACUGAGACACGGCCCAGACUCCUACGGGAGGCAGCAGUAGGGAAUCUUCGGCAAUGGACGAAAGUCUGACCGAGCAACGCCGCGUGAGUGAAGAAGGUUUUCGGAUCGUAAAACUCUGUUGUUAGAGAAGAACAAGGAUGAGAGUAAAAUGUUCAUCCCUUGACGGUAUCUAACCAGAAAGCCACGGCUAACUACGUGCCAGCAGCCGCGGUAAUACGUAGGUGGCAAGCGUUGUCCGGAUUUAUUGGGCGUAAAGCGAGCGCAGGCGGUUUCUUAAGUCUGAUGUGAAAGCCCCCGGCUCAACCGGGGAGGGUCAUUGGAAACUGGGAGACUUGAGUGCAGAAGAGGAGAGUGGAAUUCCAUGUGUAGCGGUGAAAUGCGUAGAUAUAUGGAGGAACACCAGUGGCGAAGGCGGCUCUCUGGUCUGUAACUGACGCUGAGGCUCGAAAGCGUGGGGAGCGAACAGGAUUAGAUACCCUGGUAGUCCACGCCGUAAACGAUGAGUGCUAAGUGUUGGAGGGUUUCCGCCCUUCAGUGCUGCAGCAAACGCAUUAAGCACUCCGCCUGGGGAGUACGACCGCAAGGUUGAAACUCAAAGGAAUUG